rnacentral:rRNA from 1 species
GAUGAACGCUGGCGGCGUGCCUAAUACAUGCAAGUCGAGCGAACGGACGAGAAGCUUGCUUUUCUGAUGUUAGCGGCGGACGGGUGAGUAACACGUGGAUAGCCUACCUAUAAGACUGGGAUAACUUCGGGAAACCGGAGCUAAUGCCGGAUAAUAUUUUGAACCGCAUGGUUCAAAAGUGAAAGACGGUCUUGCUGUCACUUAUAGAUGGAUCCGCGCUGCAUUAGCUAGUUGGUAAGGUAACGGCUUACCAAGGCAACGAUGCAUAGCCGACCUGAGAGGGUGAUCGGCCACACUGGAACUGAGACACGGUCCAGACUCCUACGGGAGGCAGCAGUAGGGAAUCUUCCGCAAUGGGCGAAAGCCUGACGGAGCAACGCCGCGUGAGUGAUGAAGGUCUUCGGAUCGUAAAACUCUGUUAUUAGGGAAGAACAUAUGUGUAAGUAACUGUGCACAUCUUGACGGUACCUAAUCAGAAAGCCACGGCUAACUACGUG